CUAAUUUACUCUACUAUAGGACGAGCACACCCCCAAAAUGGCCGCCAUCCCAGAAGCAUUGAGUCUAAGAGUCUCGCUAGCCACCCCAAUGACUGUAGGCUGGGGAAUGGUCUGGCUAGUGAGACUACAUUGAGCCCGGAUAAAUCUUCAGGAAUUCUUUAUGGCUUAUCUGACGGUCCAGAUGUCCUUUAUAAUUAUUUUUAUGAAAACAGAUCAGUCUUAUCAAAAGUAGUUAAAAACUUCCAUAAAAUAUUUUUACGGCUAAUGAAUGCAUAUGCCUGCAUGCACCAAUUGUUCAAUGAAGUUUCUCCGUCUUCUUCCACAGAACUACAAAGUAAACAGCCUAUCUACUGACAGUCUGACGCCAAUCACUUCAAUUAUCCACAGAGUUUUGUGUUUAUUUUUCCUUCAUUCUCUGCAUAGUCUCAUAGCGAAGGGGCGGGGCGACAAGACUAUUCUCUUCAUUACUUUAAUCUCUUCAACUCUUCAAGUAAGGCAUUGCCACAGUGAAAUAAAAAGGUGGAUAUGAAACGGGAAGGAGUCAUGAGCAAAUGGUCAAUAAAAUGAGAUUGUGCUCCUAUCCAGCAGCAACUUAUGGAUGCAGCUUAAAGCCUGUGACUGUUUCUACAAUUCCUCCCUCCCCCAUGUGCUCCCUUUCUCUCUGUCCCUUUCUGUCUUACACUGGAGCUCCAUCAAUAAACAUACAUGUCUCCUGUAAUGAAUACAACAUUUCAAACUCCUCUCAUUAAAUUAUAUUUCUGUUAAACAUAGAUCUAAUUUUGUAAUAUUGUUUAUUUUACUUACUUUUCAAUAGUUUAGCAUGCUUCUUUUCAA